CCCUUAGAUGUUCUGGGCCGCACGCGCGCUACACUGACGAAGUCAGCGAGCAUGUCCUACGCCGACAGGUGCGGGGAAUCUUGUCAAACUUCGUCGUGAUGGGGAUUGAUUUUUGAAAUUCUUGAUCAUAAACGAGGAAUUCCUAGUAAGCGCAAGUCAGCAGCUUGCGUUGAUUACGUCCCUGCCCUUUGUACACACCACCCGUCGCUACUACCGAUUGAAUGGUUUAGUGAGAUCUUCGGAUUGGCGCCACUGCAGCUCAGCAAUGGGCUUGGUGGAUGCCGAAAAGUUGAUCAAACUUGAUCAUUUAGAGGAAGUAAAAGUCGUAACA
rnacentral:rRNA from 1 species